GGCACGGUGGAUUAGUGGUUAGCACGUUUGUCUCGCAUCUCCAGGAUGGGGGUUUCGAAUCCCACCUCUGCCA